GUAUUACUCCCUCCGUCCGAAAAUACUUGUCAUCAAAAUGGACAAAAAGGGAUGUAUCUAGAACUAAAAUACAUCUAGAUACAUCCCCUUUUAUUCAUUUUGAUGACAAGUAUUUCCGGACGGAGGGAGUACAUG
rnacentral:pre_miRNA from 1 species